ensembl:lncRNA LINC00683 long intergenic non-protein coding RNA 683
ACACACGGUGUGUUUGUGAGCUGUGCAGAGUGGGGUCUCCCUGGCAAUGGCCACAGCCUCCAGGGGCGCUGACACCUCCCGUCUAACUGGUAGACAGUUUCUGCCUCUUCUUGUUUGGGGAUUGGAGAGGGAAGUGCGUCUGGAUGACUACUAAGCCUUUUCCUGGGAACACGUAUCUUCAGAGGACAUCAACACCAGCCUCUCCUGCCAUGUCUUACGUCAAACUCAAUCCCUUCUGAGGGCCUCAGCUGAUGUCACAUCCAUAUAAGAAAUUGGGACACACCUUGGAAGUUUCAGUUUUGGUAUCCUGUGGUAAAAGUUGGUAUCUAGACAGGAUUAGCCAUCACAUCCCCAAGAAUGAGCUAUGGCUAGAUUUCUUCAGCUGAAGAUGAAAGACAUCUGCCUGCGAGUCAGCUCUAGAGGAAUAACAGAGUACACCAGUCAUCAUAAGAAGAAAAAUUCACAUUUAAAGUUUGGAAAGCAACAGGACAAAGGUCUGUCUUCAGUGGUGCGUAGACAUGCUCGUGAUUGAAUUGGAAAUAGUUCUCUUUCCUUCUCUCUGACUUCCUAACUGAAAAGCUGCAGCGUGGGGAGAAAGGCUGCUCAGAAGCCUGGAGCCAGAACACGCACCCCGGCUUUUGCAGGGCCGGCUCACUUGGUUAGAAUCAAAGGAAAAGCCUUGUUAUUUGGGAAGCUGGGCGUCCUCACCAAAUUAGGGGAUUUAAUUUGCAGAUAUCUAAGGAGUGCUUUGAAAUGAAAGAUGAACUAAAAUCUGCUCUGAGGCCCGUGAUUUUUCACCAGUGAAGGACUCUCUUGCUGCUGGACAUACAUGAAAAGCAUCAUCUGAUCUGAAACGCAAGUCCCUGCAAGACAGAGGAGAGACUUUAUAAACAUUUUAUACCAUUCUAUGAAAUCAAUUCGAUUCAGGGCUAGAAUUCAAGAAGUAAUCCAUGGGCAAGUAUAUCUGAUGGUAAACCCAAACGAUUAUAUUGUUAACCUCUUGUACUUUUUUUAAUUUUUUAUUAUUUGAUAUUAUUAUCACAAAAGUCGCUGGAACAGGAUCCAUGAGCUGCUUCUUCACUGCUUAGUGUUUUCAGAAGCUGAUGGAUUAUUAAGCUCCAAUUGAAUACUUGAUUUCCAAUGAUUCCAUUAAUUUUUCUGGUUUGUGGUAGGAUUUGAUUUACUUAUUUUGUACUUUAACACACCAAUAAAAAAUAGAUACUAAGAAA